rnacentral:rRNA from 1 species
UACGGAAGGGGCAAGCGUUGUUCGGAAUCAUUGGGCGUAAAGGGCUCGUAGGCGGCCAACUAAGUCAGACGUGAAAUCCCUCAGCUUAACUGGGGAACUGCGUCUGAUACUGGAUGGCUUGGAUUCGGGAGAGGAAUGCGGAAUUCCAGGUGUAGCGGUGAAAUGCGUAGAUAUCUGGAGGAACACCGGUGGCGAAGGCGGCAUUCUGGACCGAUAUUGACGCUGAGGAGCGAAAGCCAGGGGAGCAAACGGG